UGAGGAACAUGACCUUCGGCGGGGGAUAGCCGGCCCAACGGCCGGGUAAUACCGCGUACGACCACAUGGGGACAUCCCUGAGUGGUGAAAGCAGCAAUGCGCCGAUGGAGUGCCUCGCGGCCUAUCAGCUAGUUGGUGGGGUAACGGCUCACCAAGGCAACGACGGGUAGCUGGUCUGAGAGGAUGGCCAGCCACAUUGGGACUGAGACACGGCCCAGACUCCUAGGGACG
rnacentral:rRNA from 1 species